ACCUUUCCUCUGCGGAGGCGCUGGCCUGUGCGCCCCCUGGUGGCCAGCGGUGUAAUCGGCACCGUCUGCCCAGAGACUGUUAGGAGUUCUGAGAGGCUGCUGACUUAGGCAGAAAUAUUUAUCGCAGGCAGCCAGACAGGGCUGGGCCCUCGAGGAGGGGAGUGCGGGAGACCAGAGCACAUUACUGCUGUGACUGGAGGUGAUGCGCUGAAGGCCAGAUCUCCAGACAAAGGCAGGAGCUAUCCUUCCUUCCACGACAUUCCCUGCUCUUAACUGCUGGUGUUCCUCGGAAUUCAUUCUUCACUUUGGGGGAGCACAGACUGGGAGCAUCGGACACCUAGCAGGGUUGGAAAAAGAAGAUACAUAGGAAGCAAGAAUUUGUCCUAUAACAGAAGGGACAGUCACACAGCAGACUGGUCAUAAGUAGGAUCUUUGACACCAUUCAAGUUAGGGGCUACCCCACAGCUGUCACAUGCCGAGUCAUCUUGGACGAGUUGUUUAAGUAUUUUGGAUUUUAGUUUCCAUGUCUUUAAAUUGCAGAUGAUGAAAUCUGGGUUGUUAAGGUUAAAUAAAAUAAUAUUUACUUUUCAUUUUGAUUCCAUCUAAUUUGUGCUAAACCUAUGCAAUGCCCUUUGUCUAUGAAAUACAAUCCAUCAAAUCUACACUUUCAGAAAGAGACCAUCAUCGUAAUGGUCUGUAAUUAGAGAAAUAGACUUUGGAC